UACGUAGGGUGCGAGCGUUAAUCGGAAUUACUGGGCGUAAAGCGUGCGCAGGCGGUUAUGCAAGACAGAUGUGAAAUCCCCGGGCUCAACCUGGGAACUGCAUUUGUGACUGCAUAGCUAGAGUACGGUAGAGGGGGAUGGAAUUCCGCGUGUAGCAGUGAAAUGCGUAGAUAUGCGGAGGAACACCGAUGGCGAAGGCAAUCCCCUGGGCCUGUACUGACGCUCAUGCACGAAAGCGUGGGGAGCAAACAGG
rnacentral:rRNA from 1 species